UUGACACGGGUUUUAUUUCUCCUGGCAUGUGUCUUCCUUCUCCAGGUUAAAGGGCACAGAAGUUUGACUGCAGAUCCACAGCACAUCCAAGCACAUGUGGAGGCAAGGGGUUUUGCAGAAAGACAUGGGACUGAAAGAGAUUCCUUUAGGAGGCAAGAUUACUGUUUUAUCACAAGUGCCCAAUCAUCGGACUGAAGCCGAAGACUUGGCAAUCACGAAAUGGACUUCCAGUUUUGCUAUACAAACGACUGUGGGUCUCGCUUUUGCCUCCUGGGAAGCUGAUUGAUGCUCCUUGCUGUAUGCUCCUAAGGUGUGCAAACAUCUGGAGGUUCUAUUCCAAUGUGCUGCUUCUGUGCCUGCCAUUCCAUGAAGACUUGUAAACAACUAAAAGAACGGAAAUCAUCUUCAAUCUGGCUAUUGUUACUAAUUUUUUCCUGGAGGCUCUCCAUCCACUACUCGGCCUUAGAAAGAAAAAACCCAACAUAUUGGCUGAAGGGUACUUCCUUCUUGAACAAGUAAUGUUUGGAGGUACUUAGUACAGAGUUAUGACCAUUAGAUAAUUUCCAUACAAGGAAGAAUCAGAAGCCCUGAAUAAAAGCAUUUUUGAAAUAAUUAUCCA
rnacentral:lncRNA from 1 species